GACGAACGCUGGCGGCGUGCUUAACACAUGCAAGUCGAACGGAAAGGCCCUGCUUUUGUGGGGUGCUCGAGUGGCGAACCGGUGAGUAACACGUGAGUAACCUGCCCUUGACUUUGGGAUAACUUCAGGAAACUGGGGCUAAUACCGGAUAGGAGCUCCUGCUGCAUGGUGGGGGUUGGAAAGUUUCGGCGGUUGGGGAUGGACGCGCGGCUUAUCAGCUUGUUGGUGGGGUAGUGGCUUACCAAGGCUUUGACGGGUAGCCGGCCUGAGAGGGUGACCGGCCACAUUGGGACUGAGAUACGGCCCAGACUCCUACGGGAGGCAGCAGUGGGGAAUAUUGCACAAUGGGCGGAAGCCUGAUGCAGCAACGCCGCGUGCGGGAUGACGGCCUUCGGGUUGUAAACCGCUUUCGCCUGUGACGAAGCGUGAGUGACGGUAAUGGGUAAAGAAGCACCGGCUAACUACGUG
rnacentral:rRNA from 1 species